UGGGGAAUAUUGCACAAUGGGCGAAAGCCUGAUGCAGCGACGCCGCGUGAGGGAUGACGGCCUUCGGGUUGUAAACCUUUUUCAGCAGGGACGAAGCGCAAGUGACGGUACCUGCAGAAGAAGCACCGGCUAACUACGUGCCAGCAGCCGCGGUAAUACGUAGGGUGCAAGCGUUGUCCGGAAUUACUGGGCGUAAAGAGUUCGUAGGCGGUUUGUCGCGUCGUUUGUGAAAGCCAGCAGCUCAACUGCUGGCUUGCAGUCGAUACGGGCAGACUUGAGUACUGCAGGGGGGACUGGAAUUCCUGGUGUAGCGGUGAAAUGCGCAGAUAUCAGGAGGAACACCGGUGGCGAAGGCGGGUCUCUGGGCAGUAACUGACGCUGAGGAACGAAAGCGUGGGUAGCGAACAGG
rnacentral:rRNA from 1 species